ACAUGAUGCCACAUUACACUUUGAAAAUGCAAAAUCAUUUUCCUCCAGGCGGAAGAUAGAAUGGGAGUCCUAGUUGACCUUCAUAUAAUUUUUAGAAGAUGGAGCACUUCAACUUCUUCCACUCAUGAAAAGAGAGGUGACAGGUGAAGACAGAACAAGAAAACAAACCAAGAAUUUCCCCUCACCAGCCACCAGCUCUGCCAGCAACUUGAUCUUAGACUUCCCAGCCUCCGUAACGCCUCUGCUUAUAAUCUGUCAUGGAUUGGAAAACUAGAAAAAACAGUUUACAGAGUAUAACAAACUUUGGAGGAGUUAAUCGACUCUAAGUAAAAGAGUAUCUAGCACGGCUGUGGAACAAAGGAGAGACUCACAAACUGUUGAAAGAAUAAAUGAAUGAAUGAAUUCUGUUCAUGAGCUUUAAUAAAACAGCUCUGAGUAGUAACAGUGGAUCAAAUUUAGGCUUCUUGAUGCAGGCAUGGUGUAGAUUACUACUUCUGUAUUGUCCCAGGAGCUCAGCACAUUCCUGCAGAGAUGAUAGGAGCUCAUCUGAUACUUGUCAGCUUUGAAUAAACUCCAGUCCCCAAGAGAGAGAAUGAGAAUCACCGGAAUACGAAACUUCCCUGUUGGACUUCCCAACAUUCUUGAAUGCACCAAGAUAGCCUCUUGCUGUGAGAUUAAUAAAUGAAUAAAUGCCUCCA
ensembl:lncRNA novel transcript